rnacentral:rRNA from 1 species
UUAAGCGACUAAGCGUACACGGUGGAUGCCUAGGCAGUCAGAGGCGAUGAAGGGCGUGCUAAUCUGCGAAAAGCGUCGGUAAGCUGAUAUGAAGCGUUAUAACCGACGAUACCCGAAUGGGGAAACCCAGUGCAAUUCGUUGCACUAUUGCAUGGUGAAUACAUAGCCAUGCAAGGCGAACCGGGGGAACUGAAACAUCUAAGUACCCCGAGGAAAAGAAAUCAACCGAGAUUCCCCCAGUAGCGGCGAGCGAACGGGGAAGAGCCCAGAGUCUGAAUCAGUUUAUGUGUUAGUGGAAGCGUCUGGAAAGUCGCACGGUACAGGGUGAUAGUCCCGUACACAAAAAUGCAUAUUCUGUGAACUCGAUGAGUAGGGCGGGACACGUGACAUCCUGUCUGAAUAUGGGGGGACCAUCCUCCAAGGCUAAAUACUCCUGACUGACCGAUAGUGAACCAGUACCGUGAGGGAAAGGCGAAAAGAACCCCGGCGAGGGGAGUGAAAUAGAACCUGAAACCGUGUACGUACAAGCAGUGGGAGCACCUUCGUGGUGUGACUGCGUACCUUUUGUAUAAUGGGUCAGCGACUUAUAUUUUGUAGCAAGGUUAACCGAAUAGGGGAGCCGUAGGGAAACCGAGUCUUAACUGGGCGUCUAGUUGCAAGGUAUAGACCCGAAACCCGGUGAUCUAGCCAUGGGCAGGUUGAAGGUUGGGUAACACUAACUGGAGGACCGAACCGACUAAUGUUGAAAAAUUAGCGGAUGACUUGUGGCUGGGGGUGAAAGGCCAAUCAAACCGGGAGAUAGCUGGUUCUCCCCGAAAGCUAUUUAGGUAGCGCCUCGUGAACUCAUCUUCGGGGGUAGAGCACUGUUUCGGCUAGGGGGUCAUCCCGACUUACCAAACCGAUGCAAACUCCGAAUACCGAAGAAUGUUAUCACGGGAGACACACGGCGGGUGCUAACGUCCGUCGUGAAGAGGGAAACAACCCAGACCGCCAGCUAAGGUCCCAAAGUCAUGGUUAAGUGGGAAACGAUGUGGGAAGGCAUAGACAGCCAGGAUGUUGGCUUAGAAGCAGCCAUCAUUUAAAGAAAGCGUAAUAGCUCACUGGUCGAGUCGGCCUGCGCGGAAGAUGUAACGGGGCUAAACCAUGCACCGAAGCUGCGGCAGCGACGCUUAGGCGUUGUUGGGUAGGGGAGCGUUCUGUAAGCCGUUGAAGGUGACCUGUGAGGGUUGCUGGAGGUAUCAGAAGUGCGAAUGCUGACAUAAGUAACGAUAAUGCGGGUGAAAAACCCGCACGCCGGAAGACCAAGGGUUCCUGUCCAACGUUAAUCGGGGCAGGGUGAGUCGACCCCUAAGGCGAGGCUGAAAAGCGUAGUCGAUGGGAAACAGGUUAAUAUUCCUGUACUUGGUGUUACUGCGAAGGGGGGACGGAGAAGGCUAGGCUAGCCGGGCGACGGUUGUCCCGGUUUAAGCAUGUAGGCGGAGUGACUUGGUAAAUCCGGUUGCUUAUCAACGCUGAGGUGUGAUGACGAUGCACUACGGUGCAGAAGUAGUUGAUGCCAAGCUUCCAGGAAAAGCCUCUAAGCAUCAGGUAACAUUAAAUCGUACCCCAAACCGACACAGGUGGUCAGGUAGAGAAUACUCAGGCGCUUGAGAGAACUCGGGUGAAGGAACUAGGCAAAAUGGUGCCGUAACUUCGGGAGAAGGCACGCUGGCAUUAGGUAAAGAGACUUGCUCUCGGCGCCGAAGCCAGUCGCAGAUACCAGCUGGCUGCAACUGUUUAAUAAAAACACAGCACUGUGCAAACACGAAAGUGGACGUAUACGGUGUGACGCCUGCCCGGUGCUGGAAGGUUAAUUGAUGGGGUCAGCCUUACGGCGAAGCUCUUGAUCGAAGCCCCAGUAAACGGCGGCCGUAACUAUAACGGUCCUAAGGUAGCGAAAUUCCUUGUCGGGUAAGUUCCGACCUGCACGAAUGGCGUAAUGAUGGCCAGGCUGUCUCCACCCGAGACUCAGUGAAAUUGAACUCGCUGUGAAGAUGCAGUGUACCCGCGGCAAGACGGAAAGACCCCGUGAACCUUUACUAUAGCUUGACACUGAACAUUGAGCCUUGAUGUGUAGGAUAGGUGGGAGGCAUUGAAGUGUGGACGCCAGUCUGCAUGGAGCCAACCUUGAAAUACCACCCUUUAAUGUUUGAUGUUCUAACUCGGCCCCGUAAUCCGGGGUGAGGACAGUGUCUGGUGGGUAGUUUGACUGGGGCGGUCUCCUCCCAAAGAGUAACGGAGGAGCACGAAGGUUAGCUAAUCACGGUCGGACAUCGUGAGGUUAGUGCAAAGGCAUAAGCUAGCUUGACUGCGAGAGUGACGGCUCGAGCAGGUACGAAAGUAGGUCUUAGUGAUCCGGUGGUUCUGAAUGGAAGGGCCAUCGCUCAACGGAUAAAAGGUACUCCGGGGAUAACAGGCUGAUACCGCCCAAGAGUUCAUAUCGACGGCGGUGUUUGGCACCUCGAUGUCGGCUCAUCACAUCCUGGGGCUGAAGUAGGUCCCAAGGGUAUGGCUGUUCGCCAUUUAAAGUGGUACGCGAGCUGGGUUUAGAACGUCGUGAGACAGUUCGGUCCCUAUCUGCCGUGGGCGUUGGAAGAUUGAGAGGGGCUGCUCCUAGUACGAGAGGACCGGAGUGGACGAAUCACUGGUGUUCGGGUUGUCAUGCCAAUGGCAUUGCCCGGUAGCUAAAUUCGGAAGAGAUAACCGCUGAAAGCAUCUAAGCGGGAAACUUGCCUCGAGAUGAGUCUUCCCUGGGGCUUUAAGCCCCCUGAAGGAACGUUAAAGACUAUGACGUUGAUAGGCUGGGUGUGUAAGUGCAGCGAUGCAUUGAGCUAACCAGUACUAAUGAUCCGUGAGGCUUAACCUU